AUUUUAGAGACAUUUUUUUUCUACUGGUGUUAUUUUCCGAAGUUUGUUAUACUAGAUUGAAAAACAACGCUUUGAUUUGAGUCUUGUUUAGUAAAGUAUGAGAAAAGGUUGAAGUAGUAAGUUGCGAUCGAUCGAUCAGGAAUGGAAAGGUUAAAGUCAGGUUGUAUUCUAUGGUUUGAGGGUUUGAAAGAAGCUUGUUGUCUUCAUCGCGUUGUUAUUCUCUGUCUCCGCUCAAAUUCUCUAUUGCUCCGAACAGGCCAAUGUUUCCUCCUCAAUGGUUUCAUCUUCUUAGGAAGUAUAUUCCUCCUAAACUCGGUUGUCAUUCCUGCUUUGUGGUUGAUAUUACCUGAUCAAUGCUCACACCUGGUUUCUCAUCAACUCUGUGACUUAGCUACAACUUUCAAAUUUUAUUCUUUCUUACGUCUUGCACUCAUUCAGCUCUUUUAUGUGCUUUGGUUUUACCCAUUAUAUGUGUUUAGCAUAGUUCUAAGCACUAUCUGGUACAACGACAUUGCCAAGUAUGGGUAUGCUGCAAUGGGAAGAUCUAAGUUUACAGUGGACAAAGUUUCCAGCCAAAACAACGCACCAACUACGCAAGAUGCUUAUCAAGCAAAAAAACCAUCUGGCCUUGGAGGGGUCAUGAUUGGAAUAGGAGAGCAGGUGUACUCGAUACUCCUUUUGAGCGUUUUCUUUCUUGAGGUCUAUGCAACUGGUUUCAUACCAUACAUAGGGAAGGUGCUCAAUUUUUUACUCCUUUCCUGGAUGUAUGCAUAUUACUGCUUCGAGUAUAAAUGGAAUUUCAAUGAAGUGGCACUUGACAGAAGGCUAGACUACUUUGAAUCUUAUUGGCCAUUUUUUGCUGGUUUUGGAAGUCCUUGCGUUUUGGCUAUAUUCUUUUUCUCUCCUCUUGUUGGUUAUGGGAUUAUGGCUAUACUUUUUCCACUGUUUGUUCUAACUGCAACUGGGUCGGAGGCUGAACAAGAAAUCUCCUUUGAAAAAUAUAAAUGGAGAGCUGCAGGAGUGGAAAGGCUUCCAAUAUUUUACGUUGCAAAUAAUGUGUCGUAAGUUUUUCAUUACUUAUUCCUUCACUAGUGAAGCACAGUGCGUUUAUCUGUAAUUAUUUGACAAUUUUGAGGUUGUCAAAUCCUUGUUAGUUGUCACACACUUGCAUCAUUUGACUCUCGUCUUAUAUGCUGUCUCUAGAUGCUUUGACUUGUUAAGUUGACAUAAUAUUAAAGCUAUUGAGUACCGAGUAUUGUCUGUUUUUAAAAAAUAUACACCUGAUGUGUUGCUAUUGAUGAAACUUGCGACUCCUCGUGAAAUGAAUUGGUUCAAACUUAUUGAUAUUGUUUGUUUGUUUCAUUAUUUGGCUAACAUCAGUGUUCUUGAACUUUACCUUUCUUUAUUUUAUACUAUGUUGCAAAUUCAAAAACGAAUUGUCUAAUGUUAAUUCCGAGUUUCAAAUAAAAGAUCAACUACCUUAACAAGUAGUUCUAACUCUAAGAUAUUGGUAAAUUGAUCUCAUUUUUAAUUUAUGAUCCAUAUUUUGGUGAUCAAAGUAUCUUUUACACCUCUCAUUCUGUUUUUCUGUGAAAUUAGGACUUGGUUGGGAUGCUCUUAAGGGGAUAAUGAAACAAUAAUAAGUAGUUCUAAUAUUGGUUCUCAAGUUCUUUAUCAGAUAUCUUUCUUAUUCAGAUUUUUUAAUUAGGGUACAGUGCGUUUAUGAAAUCUUUCUGCAUUUGAUUACCAAAAUUUCUAAUAAUGAAUAAAUGGCAUGCUUGAUUGUAUAAUAAAGCACCUGUGGAGUUAUUAUCAUUGUACGUAGUCACAUACUUGGAUUUUUGUUUAUGUAGGAUGUGGAUUUUAUCUCUUUUACCCCUGGAGAAACGGGACCGUAUGCAAGACAUGAAAGCACAAUAAGAUUAUUGUAGUCAACGAUUAUGGCAUAACUGACAACUGGAUAAAUUUAUUUAACACAUCGAUGCGGGUUGAACUACACACUACGCGACUUCAUAAUUCAGGUGCAGAAGGUUAAAGGCUUAAAACUGCUGCCAGAACUAAAGUCAACCAUGUUAUUGGGAAAUUCUACUUUGUAUAGGGUCAGCACUAACUUGGAGUUUGCGUUCUAGGAGUCCUUCGACUGCUACCUUCUACAUUGUAUAGAUUAUGCUGAAUUUGGUUGUAAGUUGCACUCCAAGUCUUAAUUUGUGCAUAACAUUUGUAACUCUCAAAAUAUAUUUAUGCAAAAUUAGUCGAGUUUAAAA